rnacentral:tRNA from 1 species
GGGCGCUUAGCUCAGUUGGUCAGAGCGCCGCCCUUACAAGGCGGAGGUCACAAGUUCGAGCCUUGUAGCGCCCA